rnacentral:rRNA from 1 species
AACGCACCUUGCGCCUUUUGGCUAUUCCGAAGGGCAUGCCUGUUUGAGUAUUAUGAACACCUCAACCCUCAUGGUUUGCCAUGAUGGGCUUGGACUUUGGAGGUUUUGCUGGCUUACGGUCGGCUCCUCUCAAACGAAUCAGCUUACCGGUGUAUGGUGGCGUCACAGGUGUGAUAAUUAUCUGCGCUUGUGGUGGUCUGCCAGGUAACCUUCUUCAGCCUUGGAGGUUUGCUGGGGCUUACAAACGUCUCUCCUCGGCGGAGACAGCUUUCUGAACGUUUGAUCUCAAAUCAGGUAGGACUACCCGCUGAACUUA